AGGGCGCACGGUGGAUGCCUUGACACUAGGAGUCGAUGAAGGACGGGACUAACGCCGAUAUGCUUCGGGGAGCUGUAAGUAAGCUUUGAUCCGAAGAUUUCCGAAUGGGGAAACCCACCAUACGUAAUGGUAUGGUAUCCUUAUCUGAAUACAUAGGUAAGGAAGACAGACCCAGGGAACUGAAACAUCUAAGUACCUGGAGGAAGAGAAAGCAAAUGCGAUUUCCUGAGUAGCGGCGAGCGAAACGGAACAUAGCCCAAACCAAGAGGCUUGCCUCUUGGGGUUGUAGGACAUUCUAUACGGAGUUACAAAGGAACGAGGUAGACGAAGCGACCUGGAAAGGUCCGUCGUAGAGGGUAACAACCCCGUAGUCGAAACUUCGUUCUCUCUUGAAUGUAUCCUGAGUACGGCGGAACACGUGAAAUUCCGUCGGAAUCUGGGAGGACCAUCUCCCAAGGCUAAAUACUCCCUAGUGAUCGAUAGUGAACCAGUACCGUGAGGGAAAGGUGAAAAGCACCCCGGAAGGGGAGUGAAAGAGAUCCUGAAACCGUGUGCCUACAAAUAGUCAGAGCCCGUUAAGGGUGAUGGCGUGCCUUUUGUAGAAUGAACCGGCGAGUUACGAUCCCGUGCGAGGUUAAGCUGAAGAGGCGGAGCCGCAGCGAAAGCGAGUCUGAAUAGGGCGUUUAGUACGUGGUCGUAGACCCGAAACCAGGUGAUCUACCCAUGUCCAGGGUGAAGUUCAGGUAACACUGAAUGGAGGCCCGAACCCACGCACGUUGAAAAGUGCGGGGAUGAGGUGUGGGUAGCGGAGAAAUUCCAAUCGAACCUGGAGAUAGCUGGUUCUCCCCGAAAUAGCUUUAGGGCUAGCCUUAAGUGUAAGAGUCUUGGAGGUAGAGCACUGAUUGGACUAGGGGUCCUCAUCGGAUUACCGAAUUCAGUCAAACUCCGAAUGCCAAUGACUUAUCCUUAGGAGUCAGACUGCGAGUGAUAAGAUCCGUAGUCAAAAGGGAAACAGCCCAGACCGCCAGCUAAGGUCCCAAAGUGUGUAUUAAGUGGAAAAGGAUGUGGAGUUGCUUAGACAACUAGGAUGUUGGCUUAGAAGCAGCCACCAUUUAAAGAGUGCGUAAUAGCUCACUAGUCGAGUGACUCUGCGCCGAAAAUGUACCGGGGCUAAAUACACCACCGAAGCUGCGGAUUGAUACCAAUGGUAUCAGUGGUAGGGGAGCGUUCUAAGGACAGUGAAGUCAGACCGGAAGGACUGGUGGAGUGCUUAGAAGUGAGAAUGCCGGUAUGAGUAGCGAAAGACGGGUGAGAAUCCCGUCCACCGAAUGCCUAAGGUUUCCUGAGGAAGGCUCGUCCGCUCAGGGUUAGUCAGGACCUAAGCCGAGGCCGACAGGCGUAGGCGAUGGACAACAGGUUGAUAUUCCUGUACCACCUCUUUAUCGUUUGAGCAAUGGAGGGACGCAGAAGGAUAGAAGAAGCGUGCGAUUGGUUGUGCACGUCCAAGCAGUUAGGCUGAUAAGUAGGCAAAUCCGCUUAUCGUGAAGGCUGAGCUGUGAUGGGGAAGCUCCUUAUGGAGCGAAGUCUUUGAUUCCCCGCUGCCAAGAAAAGCUUCUAGCGAGAUAAAAGGUGCCUGUACCGCAAACCGACACAGGUAGGCGAGGAGAGAAUCCUAAGGUGUGCGAGAGAACUCUGGUUAAGGAACUCGGCAAAAUGACCCCGUAACUUCGGGAGAAGGGGUGCUUUCUUAACGGAAAGCCGCAGUGAAUAGGCCCAAGCGACUGUUUAGCAAAAACACAGCUCUCUGCGAAGCCGUAAGGCGAAGUAUAGGGGGUGACACCUGCCCGGUGCUGGAAGGUUAAGGAGAGGGGUUAGCGUAAGCGAAGCUCUGAACUGAAGCCCCAGUAAACGGCGGCCGUAACUAUAACGGUCCUAAGGUAGCGAAAUUCCUUGUCGGGUAAGUUCCGACCCGCACGAAAGGUGUAACGAUUUGGGCACUGUCUCAACCAGAGACUCGGUGAAAUUAUAGUACCUGUGAAGAUGCAGGUUACCCGCGACAGGACGGAAAGACCCCGUGGAGCUUUACUGUAGCCUGAUAUUGAAUUUUGGUACAGUUUGUACAGGAUAGGCGGGAGCCUUUGAAACCGGAGCGCUAGCUUCGGUGGAGGCGCUGGUGGGAUACCGCCCUGACUGUAUUGAAAUUCUAACCUACGGGUCUUAUCGACCCGGGAGACAGUGUCAGGUGGGCAGUUUGACUGGGGCGGUCGCCUCCUAAAGUGUAACGGAGGCGCCCAAAGGUUCCCUCAGAAUGGUUGGAAAUCAUUCGUAGAGUGCAAAGGCAUAAGGGAGCUUGACUGCGAGACCUACAAGUCGAGCAGGGACGAAAGUCGGGCUUAGUGAUCCGGUGGUUCCGCAUGGAAGGGCCAUCGCUCAACGGAUAAAAGCUACCCCGGGGAUAACAGGCUUAUCUCCCCCAAGAGUCCACAUCGACGGGGAGGUUUGGCACCUCGAUGUCGGCUCAUCGCAUCCUGGGGCUGUAGUCGGUCCCAAGGGUUGGGCUGUUCGCCCAUUAAAGCGGUACGCGAGCUGGGUUCAGAACGUCGUGAGACAGUUCGGUCCCUAUCCGUCGUGGGCGUAGGAAAUUUGAGAGGAGCUGUCCUUAGUACGAGAGGACCGGGAUGGACGCACCGCUGGUGUACCAGUUGUUCUGCCAAGGGCAUAGCUGGGUAGCUAUGUGCGGAAGGGAUAAGUGCUGAAAGCAUCUAAGCAUGAAGCCCCCCUCAAGAUGAGAUUUCCCAUAGCGUAAGCUAGAAGAUCCCUGAAAGAUGAUCAGGUUGA
rnacentral:rRNA from 1 species